rnacentral:rRNA from 1 species
GACGAACGCUGGCGGCGUGCUUAACACAUGCAAGUCGAACGGUAAGGCCCUUCGGGGUACACGAGUGGCGAACGGGUGAGUAACACGUGGGUGAUCUGCCCUGCACUUCGGGAUAAGCCUGGGAAACUGGGUCUAAUACCGGAUAGGACCUCUGCCUGCAUGGGUGGUGGUGGAAAGCUUUUGCGGUGUGGGAUGGGCCCGCGGCCUAUCAGCUUGUGUGUGGGGUGAUGGCCUACCAAGGCGACGACGGGUAGCCGGCCUGAGUGGGUGACCGGCCACACUGGGACUGAGAUACGGCCCAGACUCUUACGGGAGGCAGCAGUGGGGAAUAUUGGACGAUGGGCACGAGCGUGAUGCAGCGACGCCGCGUGAGGGAUGACGGGCUUCGGGUUGUAAACUGAUUUUAUGUGCGAAGAAUUUGACUGUACCACAUGAAUAAGGAUCGGCUAACUACGUGCCAGCCGCCGCGGUAA